AGAACGAACGCUGGCGGCAUGCCUAACACAUGCAAGUCGAACGAACCCUUCGGGGUUAGUGGCGCACGGGUGCGUAACGCGUGGGAACCUACCAUCAGGUUCGGAAUAACAGUUAGAAAUGACUGCUAAUACCGGAUAAUGUCUUCGGACCAAAGAUUUAUCGCCUUUUGAUGGGCCCGCGUUGGAUUAGCUAGUUGGUAAGGUAAAAGCUUACCAAGGCGACGAUCCAUAGCUGGUCUGAGAGGAUGAUCAGCCACACUGGGACUGAGACACGGCCCAGACUCCUACGGGAGGCAGCAGUGGGGAAUAUUGGACAAGUGGGCGAAAGCCUGAUCCAGCAAUGCCGCGUGAGUGAUGAAGGUCCUUAGGGUUGUAAGCUUCUUUACGUGGGAUGUAUAAUGACAGUACCAGAGAAUAGCUCGCUACUCGUGCCAGCAGCCGC
rnacentral:rRNA from 1 species